rnacentral:rRNA from 1 species
GACAUAGGUGGCGAACGUUAUCCGGAAUUAUUGGGCGUAAAGGGUGCGUAGGCGGCAUGAUAAGUUAUUGGCGGCAAAUCGAGGCUCAACCUCGUGGAAACUGAUAAUACUGUCUUGCUUGAGUGCAGAAGAGGUUAACGGAACUCCAUGUGGAGCGGUAAAAUGUGUAGAUAUAUGGAAGAACAUCAGUAACGGCGAAGGCAGUUAACUAUUCUGUUACUGACGUUGAGGCACGAAAGCGUGGGGAGCAAAAAGG